UUCCACGUUGGAAAUACCCACUUUCAGAGCGUGACACGCGUCCGUGUAAAUGAAACUCCGCGUAUUGGUGUAUUGGGCUCUGGCUCGAGAUUGUAUUUGAGGCCCGUGUUACUCUCCGGUCCAGCGAAACCCUAAUCAUUGUAGACUUGGUCAUUCGUCGUCUUCGCGUCUUCGCUCACUUCGAUCGCGACGAGACGAUACAAUUUCCGUAACAGUAUGCGUUGUGAUUCUUUGUUUCCUCUUCUCCAAUCGUAAAUUUUAUUCCAUUCUUCCUUCUUCCUUAUUUUAAGAUUUCUUUUGUUUUCUCAAACUCGCGACCCUUCGCUUCCUUUCUACCAACUCUCUCAUCUUCCGCCCUCGUCGAUUUUCAUCAUCAAAGGAGAGACUGCUCCGCCGCCACCGAUUUCAUCAAAGGAGUUUCUAGGGUUUUGGGGGUUGGUGUCGUGGACAUCCGAAGCCGUGGUUUCAGUACUAUAUCAUGUGAGAUCAACGAAGCUCGGAAGUUAAGAAGAAGAGCUAAAUCUCAUGAUUUCCUACAAAGAUCGAGGGUUACUACAUAGGACUGGAGAGGCUCUGUCGGGAGAGACUAUCAAAAAGCAACACAAUCAUUUCCGUCGCCGGCGAAUUACUCUCACUGGAAAAUAAAUAUUUUGAAGAAUGAAGAGUAACUUAGACGACAGCAACGAUGAAAAGCAGCCUGAGCGAAAGCGCCCUGCUCUUGCUAGGUUUGUUAGUAUUCAUUCA